CCCAGAGCCUUCCAGCAGGCUUCGCUAAGCUCCGGUAUUUUAAAGAGAUUUUAAUCACUACUCAUUAUGUGUUGAAAGAGGAAUUGCAUCGUCAGAGAUAUUCCUCGCCGAAUCACAGAGCCCGUGACAGGCAGGUCGCUUCUUUGUGGGUCUUCCUACUGUGGGCUGCUGCGUUGGGGUUUGGAGAACCGGAGGAGCUGGACUCUUAGCUCUCACAACGACUUUUCCCGCCAGGUCCUGGAAAGCAUCCAGGAGGACGCAUUUACUCUACCCCGAAACCCACCAUGGCCACUACAGACAAGGAAACCAAGAUGCUGAGGACCAGGAUUUUUACUGGAUAUACAUGAGGAACACGCUGUGGAACCCAGGCCACUCCAGUAACCACCCGAGUCCAGUUCAUCCAGCUCAAAUGUACGCAUGUCUGAGCUAUCUGAUGGGACAUGGGCAACCUCCCGACGGCCGCGUUCCGAAGGAGAAUGGCUUUUCCCUCCGAAGGAGAAUGGCUUUUCCCUCCUUCAGCUGCUGACAGCUCCUUCCUCCAGUGUUGAUGGAAUACUCACUGACUUGACCUCGUUCAGUUAACCACAGCUGAUGUGAGCUGAUGUGCGCAACGUGCAUGGACUGGACUCUGAGCACACCUGUGAUCGUCUUGAUUACGUUAAUCAAGGUGCGAGGACACCACCCACUGUGGGUAGAAACAUUCCCCGG